rnacentral:lncRNA from 1 species
GGCUGUCCAAGAUAUAGGGUAAAGCUGGCUACUAUAAACUUGUUGAUUCAUAUAUGGACAUUAUUUGAUGUGUAAUUUAUAUUAUCUUUUAGAUGCAGGAGAGUAACGCAUGUAAUUAUUUUUAUUGGUACGACCCACAAUUUACGAGCCAGAGUAUCUCAGUGGUUAAUGGUUUAUUAGAAAGCAAUAAUAAGUUGCGGGAAGAAGCCGCAGUUGCAGCAAAGAGAAAAAGAUGGAAAUGGGCCGUUUUGUCAUAUAUGGGGUAGUAAGUGGGAUUUUGUGGUCAUCUUGCUAUAACUUGUGUGGCAAGGGUACAUGACCACCCUGUAUCAUGCAGGCUGUAGUAAUAUAUAUAUUAGU